GCUCUGGUGGCCUAGUGGUUAGAGUGUCUGCCUCAGAUGCGAAGGGUCAUGGGUUUGAUCCCCCCGUUAAGUCA